rnacentral:rRNA from 1 species
UACGUAGGGCGCGAGCGUUGUCCGGAUUUACUGGGCGUAAAGAGCGCGCAGGCGGUCGUGCAAGUCGCGUGUGAAAGCCCCCGGCUCAACUGGGGAGGGUCACGCGAUACUGCUCGACUCGAAGGCAGGAGAGGGAAGUGGAAUUCCCGGUGUAGUGGUGAAAUGCGUAGAUAUCGGGAGGAACACCAGUGGCGAAGGCGACUUCCUGGCCUGUUCUUGACGCUGAGGCGCGAAAGCUAGGGGAGCAAACGGG